rnacentral:rRNA from 1 species
UCAGAGGGGGGUAGAAUUCCACGUGUAGCAGUGAAAUGCGUAGAGAUGUGGAGGAAUACCGAUGGCGAAGGCAGCCCCCUGGGACGUCACUGACGCUCAUGCACGAAAGCGUGGGGAGCAAACAGGAUUAGAUACCCUGGUAGUCCACGCCCUAAACGAUGUCAACUAGUUGUUGGGGAUUCAUUUCUUCAGUAACGUAGCUAACGC